AACGAACGCUGGCGGCAUGCCUAACACAUGCAAGUCGAACGAGACCUUCGGGUCUAGUGGCGCACGGGUGCGUAACGCGUGGGAACCUGCCCUUAGGUUCGGAAUAACUCCCCGAAAGGGGUGCUAAUACCGGAUAAUGUCUUCGGACCAAAGAUUUAUCGCCUUUGGAUGGGCCCGCGUUGGAUUAGCUAGUUGGUAGGGUAAAAGCCUACCAAGGCGACGAUCCAUAGCUGGUCUGAGAGGAUGAUCAGCCACACUGGGACUGAGACACGGCCCAGACUCCUACGGAAGGCAGCAGUAGGGAAUAUUGGACAAUGGGCGAAAGCCUGAUCCAGCAAUGCCGCGUGAGUGAUGAAGGCCUUAGGGUUGUAAAGCUCUUUUACCCGGGAUGAUAAUGACAGUACCGGGAGAAUAAGCUCCGGCUAACUCCGUG
rnacentral:rRNA from 1 species